GUUGAACGCUGGCGGCGUGCCUAAUACAUGCAAGUCGAGCGAACGGAGGAGAAUCGUGCUUCGCUGAUGUGAGCGGCGGACGGGUGAGGAACACGUGUAUAACCGACCGAGAAGACUGAGGUAAGGUCGGGAGACCUGAUCUAAUACCGGAUGAGAGGGUGAACGGGAGGGUUCAAAAGUGAAAGAGGUUCUUGCUGUGACUUGGAGAUGGUUCCUCGCUGGAUUAGCUAGUUGGUAGGGUAACGGCUUACCAAGGCGACGAUGCGUAGCCGACCUGAGAGGGUGAUCAGCCACACUGGAACUGAGACACGGUCCAGACUCCUACGGGAGGCAGCAGUAGGGAAUAUUGCACAAUGGGCGAAAGCCUGACCCAGCCAUGCCGCGUGAGUGAUGAAGGUCUUCGGAUCGUAAAACUCUGUUAUUAGGGAAGAACAUAUGUAUGUGAAUAUCUGCACAUCUUGACGGUACCUACUGAAAAAGCACCGGCUAACUACGUG
rnacentral:rRNA from 1 species